CUCUUCCUCUUUCCCUAAGCAGCCUGAGGUAAUCUGUGAAAAUGGUUCGCUAUUCACUUGACCCGGAGAACCCCACGAAAUGUAAGUGGACAGGAGGUAGAUACCUAUUUCCUACUUGGGGGUUGGCAUAAGAUACCAAAAAUUAACCAAAACGUUUUAUUUUCUAGCAUGCAAAUCAAGAGGUUCCAAUCUUCGUGUUCACUUCAAGGUAUGCGAUUCAUAGUUGUGAUCCAACAGUUCCUCAUGUUCCACUCAAAAAAGGUAGCUGCAGUGAUGACUUUCUUAGGACACCUUUGGAUUUACCGUGAAAAUUAAUAAAUUCUGAGCAGCCACCUUAUAUUUAGGCAUUGAUGAUCAGGGUGUAAGGAUGUAGCGUUUGUACCAGAAAACCAUUUGGAAAUCUAGUGUGCAGAUCAAGAUGGAGCAUUUUAAUUGUAAUUACAUGGUGAUGGAAUUUAAACAUUUUAUAGUGAAUAAAUGGAGUUUUGGAGUUUUCUCUAGCUUCAACGAAGUUUACCUGGCUUUUAGUCACAAGUUUUUUUAAUUG
rnacentral:sRNA from 1 species